UAAAUUGCAAAGCGAUCAGUUGCUUGGGGUAUAAAUAAUGAGGCAGUGUUCUCUGUGGCAAUGAGGAACACAGACUUCAGUCAGAUGCACCUGGCUUUGAGGUCCAGCUCUGAGGCUUACCAGACAGGCGACCUGGGAAAUGGGCCCCGUUUCUCUGAGUCUCAAGUUUUCACCCCAAAUGGGAAAAAAACACCCUUGUCUUGCAGGACUGUUGUCAGCACUAAACAGCCAACAGCCACGUAUGGGACCCACAGCCUGCAGUAGCAGAUACACUAGAUGUGUUUAGUAGGUGGCAGCUUUUGGUAUUAGAGACAGUUUUUAAGAAGCUUAUCAGGCAGAUAAAUUCCUGAAAGUGCUAGACUACACUGGAGCUUGCGUUGCUGGGAGGGUGUGAAAAGUGGGUGACAUUCUUCAAAUUCUUUGACACGUUCUUUUCUAGAUGAUUAGUAUUUACGAUGCAGAGACAGAACAAAUUCGUAUAGGACCGUACUCCUGGACACCAUUUCCACAUGUGGAUUUCUGGUUGCAGCAAGAUGACAAGCAAAUACUAGAGAAUCUUUCCACUUCGCCUCUGGCCGAGCCACCCCACUUUGUUGAACAUAUUAGAUCUACCUUGAUGUUUUUAAAAAAAUACCCAUCUCCAACUAAUACAUUGUUUCCUGGAAAUAAAGCCCUAGUCUACAAAAAAAAUGAAGAUGGCUUGUGGGAAAAGAUCUCUUCAGGAAA